rnacentral:rRNA from 1 species
CGCGUAGACGGUUUUGUAAGUCAGAUGUGAAAUCCCGUGGGCUCAACCUGGGAACUGCAUUUGAUACUGCAUGGCUAGAGUAUGGAAGAGGGAAGUGGAAUUUCCGGUGUAGCGGUGAAAUGCGUAGAUAUCGGAAGGAACACCAGUGGCGAAAGCGACUUCCUGGUCCAAUACUGACGUUCAUGUGCGAAAGCGUGGGGAGCAAACAGGAUUAGAUACCCUGGUAGUCCACGCCAUAAACGAUGACAACUAGAUGUUGGGAGGGUCUGCCUCUCGGUGUCGCAGCUAACGCGUUAAGUUGUCCGCCUGGGGAGUACGGCCGCAAGGUUGAA